UCCAUUUUUUAAUCCGGGAAUAUCUACCGAAUAUAAUAUUUAAUGUAUAUUUUUAUAUUCCUUGUGUGUCUAGGAUAGUAUAUAUAGUUUGGUCUCUUGUCACUUCUAUUUGUUAAUUGACAAAUUUGAGGUAAAACCGUGUGGAAAUUGGAAUCUUCAGUCCUGCACGCUAACAACCUGCUCACUGUUCUUCUUAUCCUUUAUUUUCUUCAGACAUUGGAGUUUGGUGAACUUACAGAUUCCAGAAAGGUGAGAACUUGCUUGAUCUAUCUGGAGCAGUUGACCAACGCACUGAAAGUGUUUGAGAAAAUGGCUCAGUCAAUUGGUCCAAGGCUGUAUAGUUGCUGCAACUGCAGGAAUCAUGUAGGGCUUCACGAUGAUAUCAUCUCCAAGGCUUUUCAGGGAAGAACCGGGAGAGCCUUCCUCUUCUCCCACGCAAUGAACGUCGUGUUAGGCGCUAAAGAAGACAGGUAUCUCCUAACAGGUCUCCACACCGUGGCUGACAUAUCUUGUGCUGACUGCAAUGAACCCUUGGGCUGGAAGUACGAGAGAGCCUACGAGGCCUCGCAAAAGUACAAGGAGGGCAAGUUCAUUUUCGAAAAAGCUAAGAUUGUCAAGGAGGAGGAUUGGUAGUGAAAGAAUAAUUUGGCUACGUCAGAUUCCAGUCUUUAUGGAUUUCAUCAUCAUCAUCAUCCAUUUCUCAGUUCAUUGUCUCUCUCUCACUCUGUGUUGUUAAUCAUGUCAGUCUCUUGUGUUUAAAUAAAUGAAAAGCUGACAUAUUAUUGUAUAUGAUGAGUCCAUCAACCAUGAGCAGAGUCACUUGAGAAAGAAAGUUUGUUACUCCUUAUAAAAAAAUCUGUGUGGGUCAGAAAAUCUCGCCGGCCAAUGAUCCCUUCCACGAUUCGAGAUCUACUAACUCUCUCUAUCUCGAAAAAGAAGAUGAGUGACGAAAAAGCUUCCUCUAAGAAGAAGGAGAGUUUGGGAUGGAUGGAGUGGGUGAGAGGAUGGAGCAGCGUCUUCGGAGAGAUUCUCUUCCAGAGGAUCACCGCCUCUCAUUUGCUCAACCCUCUCCCUCCUCACUUGCGUUGUCACUGGCUCCACCAGCGGCAUUGGCCGUCAGACCGCUAGGCAGCUUGCGGAAGCUGGUGCACAUGUUGUGAUGGCCGUGAGAAACACAAAGGCAGCUCAGGAGCUGAUUCAGCAAUGGCAGAACGAGUGGUCUGGCAAAGGUCUCCCACUUAAUGUAAUGUCGAGGCAAUGGAACUUGAUCUUCUUUCAUUGGAUUCGGUUGCGAGAUUCGCUGAUGCUUGGAACGCUCGUUUGGGACCUUUGCAUGUUCUGAUUAACAAUGCUGGCAUCUUUGCUAUGGGAGAUACAUUUUCUGCAGUAUGUGUUGAGGAAAAAAAUCAACUUAAAUGCUAUACUCUCUAAUUUGGGUAGAGGCGCAGAAAUUCUCAGAGGAUGGAUACGAGCAGCACAUGCAAGUAAACCAUUUAGCUCCAGCUCUUCUUUCAGUACUCCUUUUGCCGUCUCUAAUCCGAGGUUCACCUAGCCGAAUCAUCAAUGUGAAUUCCGUGAUGCAUAGUGUUGGUUUUGUUGAUCCGGAUGACAUGAAUGUUGUUUCUGGUCGCCGCAAGUACUCGAGCGUUGUAGGAUACUCGAGCAGCAAGCUAGCCCAGAUGAGCUUACCGUACCGGCGGCGGCGGCAUGGCGGCGGCGGCAGCGUCAACAUUCUACGUCAACUCUUGUUCGUUUCGUUGACGCAAGAAGCCGCGUCCUGCGGCUGACGCCGACAAAACCUGCGGUCGCGAUAUAAGCCCUGUUCGUUUGGUUGCCGCAGGUUUCAGCGUCAGCGGCAGCGGCAGUGUCAAUGAAGACAGUUGUUGUUCGUUUCGCAGACGCUGACGCUGCCGCAUAUUAUAUCACGACCGCAGGUUUUAUCGGCGUCAGCCGCAGGACGCGGCGUUCGGACGCGGCGUCAGACGCAGCUUCCUGCGUCAACGAAACGAACAAGAGUUAACGCAAAAUGUUGACGCUGCCGCUGCCGCCGGUACCUGCGGCAACCAAACGAACAGCCCUUGUAUGCGGCAGCGUCAGCGUCUGCGAAACGAACAACAACUGUCCUCAUUGACGCUGCCGCCGCCGCCGCCGCUGAUGCUGCCGCUGACGCCGAAACCUGCGACAACCAAACGAACAGGGCUUUAGUCUUUGGUUCCCUUUAUUUUCCAGAUUAUGUUUAGUAGCAUUCUUUUCAAAAAGCUGCCUCUGGAAACAGGAGUUAGCGUCAUAUGUCUAUCCCCUGGUGUUGUUCUUACAAAUGUUGCGAGGGAUCUACCCAGGAUUUUUCAAGCUCUUUACGCAGUGAUACCUUAUUUCAUAUUCUCACCUCAAGAAGGUUGUAGAAGUUCUCUCUUCUCAGCCACAGACCCUCAGAUUCCAGAGUACUGGGAGACACUAAAAACCGAUGAUUGGCCUGUUUGCCCAUUCAUCUCCCAAGAUUGCCGACCUACAAAUCCUUCCGAAGAAGCACACAACACAGAAACUGCACAUAGAGUGUGGGAAAAGACACUAGAGUUGGUGGGUCUUCCUGUCGGUGCAGUUGAGAAGCUCUCAUAGAAGGGGAAAAUGUCCAAUGCCGAUAUGGAUCUCAGCAAGAAUAGUCGUCCAAGAAAACAACAACAAAAAGUCCACAUGUUGAAUGUCCCCCUUACAGAUCAAAAGGGUAAGUACUGAGAAGUAGCUAUUUUUUGUUGCUGAAUAUUUUGUAAUCUACUGUACACUGGGGACUGAGUACCCCAGGCAUGUGGUGUGCUCAGAAAAGGACAAAGAAAGGGUGUGAGAAUGUUUGAUUGUUGGUUAAAAAGGCACGCUUUAGCUGCCAUUCCAUGGCUUACUAGCAAAGUCUUCUUCAAAUUUGUCGGAACUGAGUUAAAGAGUGGUGGGUAGUAGUUUCUUGUUUGAGUGGAGGGUAUUUCCGUAAAUGUGUCCCUAGUUUGUGCAAGUCACGUUGCGCAUAUAAAUAUUUGUAGCGGUGAAAGCAUCUCUCAUGGACAGAAGUGGUAUUACCUCACCUUCCUCUUUAUAAUGUUUCUUGCUUAAAUGGGUAUUCCAUGAAAGUGAUUCACACUCACUAUGUAGACCUUAAUUAUGAGUUGGAUUCUUCUCUCUUCA